CUGACGGAGCAACGCCGCGUGAGUGAUGAAGGCCUUCGGGUUGUAAAACUCUGUCUUCUGUGAAGAACAAGUCUGUGAGUGGAGUGCACAGGCCCUGACGGUAACAGAGGAGGAAGCCCCGGCUAACUACGUGCCAGCAGCCGUGGUAAUACGUAGGGGCAAGCGUUGUCCGGAAUCACUGGGCGUAAAGCGCGCGCAGGCGGCGAUCUGCGUCUGGGGUGAAAGCCCGGAGCUCAACUCCGGGAUUGCCUUGGAUACGGGGUCGCUUGAGGAUCGGAGAGGCAAGGGGAAUUCCACGUGUAGCGGUGAAAUGCGUAGAGAUGUGGAGGAACACCUGUGGCGAAGGCGCCUUGCUGGCCGAUUUCUGACGCUGAGGCGCGAAAGCGUGGGGAGCAAACAGGAUUAGAUACCCUGGUAGUCCACGCCGUAAACGAUGAGUGCUAGGUGUUGGGGGGUACCACCCUCAGUGCCGAAGCUAACGCAUUAAGCACUCCGCCUGGGGAGUACGGUCGCAAGACU
rnacentral:rRNA from 1 species